rnacentral:rRNA from 1 species
GGAAGGAUCAUUACUGAGUCGUCGACACGAGUUGUUGCUGGUCCCCACAUGGGGGCAUGUGCACGCUCUGUUUACACAUCCACUCACACCUGUGCACCCUCUGUAGUUCUAUGGUCUGGGGGACCCUGUCUUCCUUCUGUGGUUCUGCAUCUUUACACACACACUGUAAUAAAGUCAUAUGGAAUGUACACCGCGUUUAACGCAAUACAAUACAACUUUCAGCAACGGAUCUCUUGGCUCUCGCAUCGAUGAAGAACGCAGCGAAAUGCGAUAAGUAAUGUGAAUUGCAAAAUUCAGUGAAUCAUCGAAUCUUUGAACGCACCUUGCGCCCCUUGGAUAUUCCGAUGGGCAUGCCUGUUUGAGUAUCAUGAACACCUCAACUCUCAUGGUUUGCCAUGAUGAGCUUGGACUUUGGGGGUUUUGCUGGCCUAUGGUCAGCUCCUCUCAAAUAAAUCAGCUUGCCAGUGUUUGGUGGCAUCACAGGUGUGAUAACUAUCUACGCUUGUUGUUGUACACCAGGUAACCUUCAGAGAUGGAGGUUCGCUGGAGCUCAUAGACGUCUCUCCUCAGUGAGGACAGCUUUUUUAACGUUCGAUCUCAAAUCAGGUAGGACUACCCGCUGAACUUAAGCAUAUCAAUAAGCGGAGGAAAAGAAACUAACAAGGAUUCCCCUAGUAACUGCGAGUGAAGCGGGAAGAGCUCAAAUUUAAAAUCUG